ACGGGAGGCAGCAGUGAGGAAUAUUGGUCAAUGGGCGAGAGCCUGAACCAGCCAAGUAGCGUGCAGGAUGACGGCCCUAUGGGUUGUAAACUGCUUUUUAUGUGAGAAUAAAAAGGGUCACGUGUGGCUCAUUGCAUGUAUCACAUGAAUAAGGACCGGCUAAUUCCGUGCCAGCAGCCGCGGUAAUACGGAAGGUCCGGGCGUUAUCCGGAUUUAUUGGGUUUAAAGGGAGCGUAGGCGGCCUUUUAAGCGUGAUGUGAAAUGUCGCGGCUCAACCGUGGCACUGCAGCGCGAACUGGAGGGCUUGAGUGCGCCGGAAGUAGGCGGAAUUCGUUGUGUAGCGGUGAAAUGCUUAGAUAUGACGAAGAACUCCGAUUGCGAAGGCAGCUUACUGUCGCGUAACUGACGCUGAAGCUCGAAAGUGCGGGUAUCGAACAGGAUUAGAUACCCUGGUA
rnacentral:rRNA from 1 species